rnacentral:rRNA from 1 species
GAUAAACGCUGGCGGCGUGCCUAACACAUGCAAGUCGAACGAUCCCGCAAGGGAGAGUGGCGGAAGGGUGAGUAACACGUGGGAAUCUACCUCCUCGCAGGGAACAACCUCUCGAAAGAGAGGCUAAUACCCAAAAGGGUCAGAAAUGAUCAGAGUCGAAAGGCGUGAGGAGAGGAGCCCGCGGCCCAUCAGCUAGUUGGUGAGGUAAUGGCUUACCAAGGCUACGACGGGUAGGGGAUCUGAGAGGAUGUCCCCCACACUGGAACUGAAACACGGUCCAGACGCCUACGGGUGGCAGCAGUGAGGAAUAUUGGACAAUGGGCGAAAGCCCGAUCCAGCAAUGCCGCGUGGAGGAUGAAGGCCUUCGGGGCGUAAACUUCUUUAGAGGGAGACGAGAAAGGACGGUAUCCCUAGAAUAAGCGACGGCAAACUACGUGCCAGCAGCCGCGGUAAU